GCCGACGUCGCAUAACCUGGUAUUGCGCCGGUCUUGAAAACCGGUUUCCGUAAGGAUAUCCCAGUUCAAAUCUGGGCGUCGGCG
rnacentral:tRNA from 1 species